UAUUGCACUGUUUUGAAUACUGUAGCUUUGUAAUAUAUUUUGAAAUUCAGAAGUAUAAAUUACCUAAUUUUGUUCCUUUUCAAGAUUGUUUUGGUCAGUCUGAUUCCCUUGACUUCCACAUGAAGACGAGGACAAUCUUAUAAAUUUCUACUAGAAAGGCAGUUUCCUGCUGAUGUCUUCUAUUGGCGGCAGCCAACUGGAAGCCAGAGGGCAAGGCAGCCUGGAUAGUGCGGUCUUUUUGCCUGUUGAGGUCAGUUGAUGAAGAGUUGGAAGAGUUGGAACCGCUAGAAGGUGGAAUGGAGAAUAUCCAGCAUGCUAGCAGCUCUCUCACCCUUCCUCUCUUCUUCCUCGAGAUAAUAUGGCCACCUUGAAUUUUGUUCGUUUCCCGAAUUUGACACACUCCCUCUGAGUUCUUGCAUUUGCAAAUACAGUUUUCUCUAGCAGGAA